AUUGAACGCUGGCGGCAGGCCUAACACAUGCAAGUCGAGCGAGCGGCGGACGGGUGAGUAAUGUAUGGGGACUGCCCGAUAGAGGGGGAUAACUACUGGAAACGGUGUCUAAUACCGCAUACUAUCGGAUAACCCAUAUGGGAUUAGCUAGUAGGUGGGGUAAAGGCUAACAUAGGCGACGAUCUCUAGCUGGUCUGAGAGGAUGAUCAACAACAUGGGAACUGGAAAACGGCCCAGACUCCAAGGGAGGCAGCAGUGGGGAAUAUUGCACAAUGGGCGCAAGCCUGAUGCAGACAUGCCGCGUGUAUGAAGAAGGCCUUAGGGUUGUAAAGUACUUUCAGCGGGGAGGCGUUACCCGCAGAAGAAGCACCGGCUAACUCCGUGCCAGCCGCCGCGGUAAUUC
rnacentral:rRNA from 1 species